GACGAACGCUGGCGGCGUGCUUAACACAUGCAAGUCGAACGGAAAGGCCCUGCUUUUGUGGGGUGCUCGAGUGGCGAACGGGUGAGUAACACGUGAGUAACCUGCCCUUGACUUUGGGAUAACCUCAGGAAACUGGGGCUAAUACCGGAUAGGAGCUCCUGCUGCAUGGUGGGGGUUGGAAAGUUUCGGCGGUUGGGGAUGGACUCGCGGCUUAUCAGCUUGUUGGUGGGGUAGUGGCUUACCAAGGCUUUGACGGGUAGCCGGCCUGAGAGGGUGACCGGCCACAUUGGGACUGAGAUACGGCCCAGACUCCUACGGGAGGCAGCAGUGGGGAAUAUUGCACAAUGGGCGGAAGCCUGAUGCAGCAACGCCGCGUGCGGGAUGACGGCCUUCGGGUUGUAAACCGCUUUCGCCUGUGACGAAGCGUGAGUGACGGUAAUGGGUAAAGAAGCACCGGCUAACUACGUGCCAGCAGCCGCGGUGAUACGUAGGGUGCGAGCGUUGUCCGGAUUUAUUGGGCGUAAAGGGCUCGUAGGUGGUUGAUCGCGUCGGAAGUGUAAUCUUGGGGCUUAACCCUGAGCGUGCUUUCGAUACGGGUUGACUUGAGGAAGGUAGGGGAGAAUGGAAUUCCUGGUGGAGCGGUGGAAUGCGCAGAUAUCAGGAGGAACACCAGUGGCGAAGGCGGUUCUCUGGGCCUUUCCUGACGCUGAGGAGCGAAAGCGUGGGGAGCGAACAGGCUUAGAUACCCUGGUAGUCCACGCUGUAAACGGUGGGUACUAGGUGUGGGGUCCAUUCCACGGGUUCCGUGCCGUAGCUAACGCUUUAAGUACCCCGCCUGGGGAGUACGGCCGCAAGGCUAAAACUCAAAGGAAUUGACGGGGUCCCGCACAAGCGGCGGAGCAUGCGGACUAAUUCGAUGCAACGCGUAGAACCUUACCUGGGUUUGACAUGGAUCGGGAGUGCUCAGAGAUGGGUGUGCCUCUUUUGGGGUCGGUUCACAGGUGGUGCGUGGCUGUCGUCAGCUCGUGUCGUGAGAUGUUGGGUUAAGCCCCGCAACGAACGCAACCCUUGUUCACUGUUGCCAGCACGUUAUGGUGGGGACUCAGUGGAGACCGCCGGGGUCAACUCGGAGGAAGGUGGGGAUGACGUCAAGUCAUCAUGCCCCUUAUGUCCAGGGCUUCACGCAUGCUACAAUGGCUGGUACAGAGAGUGGCGAGCCUGUGAGGGUGAGCGAAUCUCGGAAAGCCGGUCUCAGUUCGGAUUGGGGUCUGCAACUCGACCUCAUGAAGUCGGAGUCGCUAGUAAUCGCAGAUCAGCAACGCUGCGGUGAAUACGUUCCCGGG
rnacentral:rRNA from 1 species